rnacentral:lncRNA from 1 species
ACACAGUAACGAAAAUCUUUGUUUUGCUUGAUCAAUAUUCAAUGUACAAUUCUCAACAUUUGAAAUUCCUGCUCCCAAAUAAUUUUCGCAUCGAUUUUUUCCCAUUCAUAAAACAAAUUUGAUAUUCUAAUAAGAACAAUUAACAUGUACAUGCGCAAAUAGUUGUGAAUGUCAACACCAACUUUCAAUUUUGAUACAGUUGUUGAGACAUUUACAUGUUUUAUCUGAAAGAAACCUAAUACAGGGCAAAAGUAAUAGUCACCAAUCAUAAACCUACCUGUGAUUACUCAUUCCUUGAAACAUUUUGGGUACUAAACGAGUAUAAGAAUAAUGUUUUUGUGUACGGUGUACAACAACAUAACUAUGCACCGUACAUAAGGAUUUAUGUGGUCAGCUAAACACCGUACACAACACUUUUUUAGGGAUAAAAUAUCGAAAAAUAACAUAUGUAUGAAAGAUUUCAAUGCCAAUUAUUGAAACAGCUAUACUUAUUACACACACACAUUGACCUUCUAUCAGAAAAAGAGUUGCAAUGAAUAUAGAAUUAUUUCGGAUGAGACGAGGGCCAACUUCUUUGACAAGUAUUUGCACAUGCUUUUACAAUGUUUUAGUAAUCCCUCUUGUUUUGGGGAAAUAAUGAGACAUCUCUAACCAUCAACUUAUGACCAAAUCAUUUCUUAAAACAGUAAUUAUGUUUAGAUUGAAGUACACAUUGAUAUUAUGUGAACAAAACAAAGAUUUUCGUUACCGUGUAACAUCAAAAUCGCUCACGCCCGCUUGGUU